GAUGAACGCUGGCGGCGUGCCUAAUAAAUGCAAGUCGAGCGAACAGACGAGGAGCUUGCUCCUCUGACGUUAGCGGCGGACGGGUGAGUAACACGUGGAUAACCUACCUAUAAGACUGGGAUAACUUCGGGAAACCGGAGCUAAUACCGGAUAAUAUAUUGAACCGCAUGGUUCAAUAGUGAAAGACGGUUUUGCUGUCACUUAUAGAUUGAUCCGCGCCGCAUUAUCUAGUUGGUAAGGUAACGGCUUACCAAGGCAACGAUGCGUAGCCGACCUGAGAGGGGGAUCGGCCACACUGGAACUGAGACACGGUCCAGACUCCUACGGGAGGCAGCAGUAGGGAAUCUUCCGCAAUGGGCGAAAGCUUGACGGAGCAACGCCGCGUGAGUGAUGAAGGUCUUCGGAUCGUAAAACUCUGUUAUUAGGGAAGAACAAAUGUGUAAGUAACUAUGCACGUCUUGACGGUACCUAAUCAGAAAGCCACGGCUAACUACGUG
rnacentral:rRNA from 1 species